rnacentral:rRNA from 1 species
UGGGCGCAAGCCUGAUCCAGCCAUACCGCGUGGGUGAAGAAGGCCUUCGGGUUGUAAAGCCCUUUUGUUGGGAAAGAAAUCCAGCCGGCUAAUACCUGGUUGGGAUGACGGUACCCAAAGAAUAAGCACCGGCUAACUUCGUGCCAGCAGCCGCGGUAAUACGAAGGGUGCAAGCGUUACUCGGAAUUACUGGGCGUAAAGCGUGCGUAGGUGGUUAUUUAAGUCCGUUGUGAAAGCCCUGGGCUCAACCUGGGAACUGCAGUGGAUACUGGAUGACUAGAAUGUGGUAGAGGGUAGCGGAAUUCCUGGUGUAGCAGUGAAAUGCGUAGAGAUCAGGAGGAACAUCCAUGGCGAAGGCAGCUACCUGGACCAACAUUGACACUGAGGCACGAAAGCGUGGGGAGCAAACAGGAUUAGAUACCCUGGUAGUCCACGCCCUAAACGAUGCGAACUGGAUGUUGGGUGCAAUUUGGCACGCAGUAUCGAAGCUAACGCGUAAGUCGCCGCAGGGAGACG